AGAGUGCGGGGAGACCGCGUUUAGAGGAUCAGUGGCGGCGGCACCCGCGGCCCCGCGCGGCGCGGACGGCGGGCAGCACCGUGCCUGGGCCCCCUCCUGCUCCGGUAAGGCGUGGGUUUCGAUGGGAGGGACAGAGAGAGAGCGGGAAUAGGCGCAGGCGGAGGCCAGAGUUCUGCUGUAGAGUGGGGGUAGUCCAAGACCGAGCCUUGUGGAAGGUUGGGGUGCAGCCGGGUCCGGAAUCCCAGGCGGCUCCCCUGCACUGCUGGGCUUUGCAAUUCAGCGGCUGUUGCCAUUGUCCCCCCGUACUUUCUUGAGCUGGAAGUUUGUCCCAAGCGCAGCGCACAUCUUUGGAGGGGGAGGAGGCUCUUAGCAGCAGAAUCUCCCUCCUCCCGUCCCUCUUUCUGUGCCCCCUCCCCCAAUCCAUCCAAAGUCCACAGGGUCCGGGUCCUGGGCGAGCUGAGUGUCUGUCUCCCGCAGAGCACUCUUGCAAAGUUGAUUCGGGCGGUUUCCUGAUGGGGGCGGGGAGACCGGAGGCGCGGCGCCGGCGCGGGGGAAGGAGUGGACCGGGAAGCGCCUCGGGUGAGGAGUUGCAACCCUGGCGAGAAAGUUGUGAGAAAACUGUGAUCCGGAGACACCUUUUACGUACAAAAACAAACGACUAGGCGGGAAACCGGGGGCUCCAGCGGCGGCUGGGGGUGGUGGUCGUGGCGUUGGGAAGAGGGAAGGAGGAGGGGGGGGUGCCGGGACGCCACGAAGAGGCUGCAGUAGAUGGGCGUGCAGUGCAUGGGCAGCGUGUGCCGGGAUUCCAGUCCUCCCCUGUCCAGGCUUCGGGUUGGCACCGGCUUCCCCAGACAACAGCAAACCACACCCUCCAUAGUUCACUCCUCAGGGAACCCGUAACUCCCUAAUCCCGCUCUGGCUAGGAACUCGGGACCGCCGCCCCCAGGGGCCUAUUUUCCCACACGUGGGGGACAGAUCCUGGUCUAGAGUGCCUUCGCCUGGAAGAGUUACUGUAGUUUUUCGGAGCACUCAAGUCAAACCCUAAAUUCCGUUUCGACCACACCUGUUCUGGGUGGGCUUAACCAGGAUUUCUCCUGAAGUGGAGUCUGAAGGUGGUUGGGCUGGGCGGUCCCACUUUUGCUCCCCGUUUUUGUGCUUCGGGGGAGGGGGUGCUAGGAAGGCUCAUUUGGCCCGAGCAUGGAAGGCAGUGAUAGUGGGCGUCCCUCCGGAGCUGGCUGGUAUUGUGGAAUUGGCCUUUGGACCCCACUCGCGAUGCGCAGACCAGACGGAAGCUGAAACGGGGGAAAUGCUCGGGGAAGCGGAGUCGCAGUGAACCUGGGCUGGCAGGGAAUCCCGCUGUGCAGAUGGAAUACCCUCUUCGGACGAACGGGGAAGCUGCUUCAGAGAAUCUGGCUUGCGCUCCGUGGAACCGUGGGGUUUUAGGGCUUUGCCAACGCCCCUUUGCUGACUCCGCCCGCACCGCCCAGCAACCUCAAGGCCCACAGGCAGCCCCCCGCCUUGCCGCCGGCGUCACCAUGUCAUGGAAACCGAAGCCGCGGAGACCCGCAGUGCGACUCGUUGGCGUUCUGCCCUGACCCGUGGGUGCCGGGACCCUAACGCCUUCUCCACACCUUCUUGCACAUACACAUGUGGGCUCCCCGCUGCGGGCCGGAGGAGCGUAGGGGACUAGUCAGCUCCGGCGCGCCGCCGGCCUCCGCCGGUCGCUCCCAGACCCCGACGCGGGGCAGGGCAGAGGAUGGAGAAGGCGGUUCUGCGAUCUAGGGGGCGGGCUCCGCGGGCUCGGACUCGGCUUCGCGCUCCUCCUGCGGACCCGGCACUUCCCGGCGGAAGACGACCGGUACUCGGUAGGCUUCUGGCACCCCCGCAAGCGCCAAAAGCCGUGUGGCAUGGGGUCCCCACUUCUUCCACCCGGACCCCCAGGCGCCUCCCAGCCUGCUGCGCUGCGUGAGGCCUGCGGGGAGGGGGCCAGUCCAGCCCUGCUGUCCUCACACUCCUCCCCUCCCCGCAGCUGUCCCGGUUCUCGCCGCCAGCGCCCUCGACCCAACCGCCCCUUUCUGGAAUCUAUAGUGGCCCCAGUCCCGGGUGGCUUGCCUCCGCCCCCGUCCCAGCUGGGCUCCUUCUCAUGCAAAGCAGAGGGGUCACGGUGGAGUGUGGGGCGGUCAGUGGGACCUACCGGACGACAGCUGGACCUAGCUGUCGGCCCUUCCCCAACCCAGGGCCUGUCACCUCCCUCUGGUGGGCAGGAGGAGGUUGCUCCAUCCAUUUAGGGGUGUAAGAACCUUGGGACCUAGGUAUAGGGGAAAGAAGGCCCCUCCCCACAGACGGACCAGCGAGGCAGGAGAGUUGAGGAUGAGGACAGGACGCUCGCUCUAGGGCGUCAGGCUCCGCUCGUCCUGGUGUCCAGAUGGCUCAGUAAACAGGUCCGCAGGAGCCAACCCUGGCGUCUCUGCAAGGGGGGCCAGGAGCGCAACUCAAAGUGCGCCUCUUGGCUCCAGAUUCUAGGUUUGGAGUCCAGAUUUAACUCCUCCACGGGGACAGCACAUUAGACAAAUGGUGGGUUUUGUUUUGUUUUCGUUUCCAUUGAGCUUUUGUUUUAAAACAUAAUCGGUCGCAGGGACAUGGAGAGAAAAUUGACCAGGCUUUCUAAAUUCGCCUUCUCCGAAGCCGCUCAGCUCAGCUCUGCAUUUAAGCCAGUUCCGUUCAGCGAAGAGCACCAACCUUCCCUCCUCACCUUCCCGGCCACAUUUAUUGUCUGCAUCCUCAACUACGCAAGCGUUUUCCUACCCAAUGUCCUCCACAGACCCACAGCCACUUACACCGCCCAGGACCUGUACAUUCUGGACCAGGGUCCGCGGGGAUCAUUUUCGCCCAUAGCUCGGUGACUGCAGAAUCCUUUCCACCCUCCUCCCAGGCACCCCCGGAUACGGCCCCAGAGGGCCUAGGAGGUGACUUUCACAGUCCAGGUUUCUUUUCUUGAGAAGCUCCUUGACGAUCAGCCCCAGAGGGACCCUGGUCAGAACCCGGGUUGGAGAGGGUUCUGUCAGCUCUCUCCAGCUGCCAUGCAGUUUGGGGAGCCUGAAGGUGCCCCUCUCAAACUUCCACUUCCCUUCCUUCCCCCGCCCCCGCCCCCUCCAGGUUCCAGAAUGACGCUCGGCCCAUGGACAGAGCCUGCCCAGUCACUCUCGGCUGCUAUUGAUCCCGAGGAUGAUGGCCGCCCCUAGCCAUUUCCCUCCUCUCUCUUCGGUUCCAGAACAGCCCAAGGAGCAGAAAAGAGUGACAAGGCCGUGAAAGGAGGCGCCUGGGGCGUAGCCGGCUCUAGGAGGUUACCCCAUGCGGAGUACACACCCUGCUACACCCAUCCCGGAGGAGGGAGGAAAUAGCCAGCCCGGAGCACCCCUGGACUCUGCCGGUCCCAGAGGCCACGCAAACUCCGCCCAGACUCGGUGAGGCCGCGGUAAUGCCACGCAGGGAACUGCGUGGAUAAGGUCGCUCGGAUCUGAGCGCCAAGGUCUCCCGCCUCUCCUUCCCGUCUAGUUCUCUCCGGACUCAAAUUGCCUUAAUCUCACCCAUCACUCUCUCAUGGAAAUGAUCUACUCGUGUGCAGUACUUCACAGCUUGUAUCACGGUCUCCCCUGAACCGUAUAGCAAGAGGGUGGUGGGGGGUGGAAGAGAAGGGUACUAUCUCCACUUUCCCGGCCAGGAGGCCCAAGUUAGGAGGCUUGUCCGAGAUCCCUAGGUCAGAGCACUAUUUAAGGUGAGAAGUUGGGUGGGGAGCUUGGCACCUUGCUCCAGUGUGCACUUUGCGCCUGGCCAUGUUUUAUAAGCAAGGGGGGCUUGGGCUGGUUAAGGGGGAGCAGGGACCGCAGGGCCAGGAAAGGGCAGCAUCCGGCAGGCCGGGGCGUCACGGUAUGUGCCUGGCCUGGGUAAACAACUCUGGCUUCCCACGAGCGCUGGAGGGACCCUGGGCAUGGGGCAGGGGCCGGGUGGAACAGCGAGGUCAAGCGUGGAGAUUCCAGUUGCGAGUCAGCUCCGCGCCGCGGAGCAAAGACAGGACGUGGAUAAUCUUGGGAGGGAGACGCUGAGCUGAAGAACAGAAAAGAGAGACAGAGGCAGAAGUGAGGAGAGAGGGACAGGAAAAGAAAAUAAAGGCAGAAAACCAGAGAAAAGAUGAGACGGAGUGCGGAAAAGCAGGCGGGGAUAAAGAAAGGAAAGAUCUGUCGGGGAAAUGCGGGGAGAAGUGGAGGAAAAGAAACAGAAAUUAGACCCAGAGAGAGACCCUGCCACGAAGAAGGCCGCGGGGACGGGCGCGGAGCCGAGGGCCCUGCAGGCACGGAGGGGGCGUCCCGCGGGUCUGGGGGUGUGCGGCUUUGGGACAGGCGAGUGCGUGCUGAGAGAAAGAGGCAGCGUGUUUGGUGGGAGACUCUGCGCCCGUGGAAAAGCGGCUCUGGGCAGGAAUCCAACAAAUAAAUAAAACGUCUAAGACGGCGUGACAACAAUGUGUAUUUGGGUGCGUGCCCGUGUUCCUCUGUCUGAACACCCAGUAAGGAAGACAAACGGGGCUCGUGCCUCACAGUAAUUAAUCCUCUCACUAAUUGACUCUCUCCCCUUACCUAAUGGCGGUGGUCACUGCCGAUAUCUGGAGAGACAUCAAGUUGGGGGAGACAGAGAGAGAGAACCCCAAAGCUAACGACCUUUGGGACUGAGAUUGAGUUUUUUCUGGACUUGGCAGCUCUAAGCCCUGCCCCCACCUCCACUUUUGGGCAGAGUUCCAUAGAUAUUGCUGCCUUCCUUCCCCCUCCAGGUUUUGGGCAGCAUUAAUAAAGAUCUCCUCAGAUUAGGGUGAUGUGGUUACACACACUGAAGCCCUUCUACCGCCCUCCACCUUGGGAGAUCAGUUUCAGAGGCUGAAAGCCACCCCUGUCCCUGGGACAUUUCUUACCUCCCUGCAAUACCAGCUCCCCCUCCCAUGUUGUUCCCCCAGGGGCCCAGACCCUGCACCCUCUUCUUUCAGGCAGUACUAACUCUUCCAAGGACCUGGGCGGUGUCCCGCAGUCCCCUAAGGCAGGUGAGGUUUUGAACGGGCUGAGAAGCAGUCUGGGGUUGAUGGAAGGAGAGUGGUGGGAGGUCAGGGCAAGGAUGGGGAGAGGCUUCCAGAGACAACCUUCCUCAGACUUGGGUUGAGAGACACAGAGGCGCAGAGAGGCGCAGUUGCCACCAGGCAAGAGAGAGGCCUCUAGGGACAAAGGAGGGAAAGGUGGGCUCUAUGCACUGUGGGAAGGAGCGCCAAGUGUGUGAGAGGCAGGAAGGUGGUCAUGUCUCUGUGACUGUGAGGGUGACAGUUCUGGUCUCUCUGUGUGAGCAUGGGGAAGCCCCCUAUGUUCCCUCACAGCACCCUCAGUUCUUAGACUGGGGAGAAGAGGCAGGGGACUGGUCUGGGACUUGAUGGUCCCCUUGGUAGCUGAGUUGGCUGGAAGGGGUCCAACGCCCACAGUCUGUCUGGUAAUGCAGCUUUGAGGCUUAGGUUUGGGAGGUGAAUGUCAACUCUCACCCCUGUGAGGUGGCAGCUUUGCUCUGUUGGCCUCCUCAGAGGCUAAAUAAAGAAAUGCUGAGAUCUAUAAACCACCCAGCCCAGAGAGAAAAAGGAGGGAGGAAGGGCAGCUCCCUAGAAAAAAAUCCACCCCCUCCCCACCACUAAACACAUUUUUAAUUGUCCCUUGGGAACAUUUGUACAUUUGACCAAAGCAAAUCUCAAAGCAGCAGCAGCAAAAUGAGUCAGAGGGGCUGGUGGUCCAGAGAGAGCUGGGGAUCGGAGAUGGGGAGGUGAGGAGAGGUGGCAGGCAUGUUUGGGAAGGUGAGAAACUUGGUUCCUUUCCCACCAUCUCUGUCAAGCUUUAGAAAGAAAGUGAGCAGGAGAAAUAAAGUUCCAGGGGAAAGAAAGAGAAGGGCAUAUAAAAGGCAAAUCCAACCCAGAAAGGAAAGAAAGUGAAGAAGAAAGAAAAAGGCAGGGAGGGGGGAGAGACUAUAAUAAAAGAGGGUGAAGGCGGCCCCAGGAGGCUGGGCCUCGUCCCAAACCAUCCGUCUUCAUUGUCUCCGUGUGUGCAAAGGCAACUCUGGCAUAAGGAAAACCCACUAUUGGAGCCGAGGCUUUAUUUUAUAUCCUAUACAUCAGGAGGGAGGCAAAGCUUUAUUUUCGCCAAGAGACAGAUAUUUUAUUUCUCUCUUACGGUUUUAUGUGUGAGAGAUGUCAGGUUGCCACAAUGGAUGGCUAAUGCAUAGGCAAGAGGAAGCCGUGUUGGCAUGCUGUGUGUCAUGGGGUCUUGUGGGGGUGAGCGGGCCUGGGAUUUAGGGCUGAUGGGACACUCUGGGGGAUUUCUGCUAAAACAUCUCUCUUCAUAAAUCCAGAAGCAUGGUCAGCUCAACAGGGAGAAGAAGGAGUUUUAGAGGGGAAAGAGUUGGGCUUAGUAAUAAACGAACACACAAAGGAACCGCUUACCUUCCAACAGCCUCGGGCAACAGGGGCACGACAGCCCCAUGGAAAUGCAGACACCCAUGUCCACGCACACAAGCGCCAUUCACAGGGAAGUAUUUUCCUGACACAAAAUCCAAUGUCAGUUUCCUUUCCUUUCCCCGUUUUAUAUUUUUCCACCCCCCUUCACCAGAAAUCUUUUUUAACCUCCUCAGAGCCUUGGGGGAAAAGAGCCAUUAAUUUGCAAAUCAUCUGAUCUGUGAAAGGAUCAAGAUGCCUGGUUUUCACUGCUAAAUCCAACGUCUUGAGUGGACACAGAGGCACACACAAGCCCGUCAUGCUGCCAACCCUUGGGAGCAUAGGUGCCAGAUCUGAAGCCAAGAAAAGACUCCCUCUCCUCCCGGGACCUGCAGCUGAAUUAAGCCUUAGAUUCCAAACUGCAUAAUGUUCAUAUUUUUAAACCUGGAGAGAAGUGGAGAGAUGAAGGGGGACAAAAAGAGGGGGAACUUUGUUAAUUAACGUGUUCCAUUCAGGACUUAGACUAAUUGUCUUCCCCACUUCCAGCCGCCCCCCAACCCAAGCCAUUUCUUACAGGAGUUGCUUUUAUUCAUUCUCAUGUUCUACUUUUCUCAUUUUUGGAUUAAUAUCUACUUGUUUAAUAUCUACUGUGGCGCAAAAACGUGACCACGCUCUUUCUUUUCAGAGGGUUGGAAGCAGCACAGGAUUCCUAGACAAGGAGCUUGGAGACUUGGCUACACUGUCCCUGGCCAUUAGGGAAGACGUUUAGCCUUUCCGGGCCUCAGUUUUCUCAUCUGUAACAUGAGGGGAUUCGGCUAAAUGAUUACUGAGGUCCCUUCCAGCUCCGACCUCCUCUGGCCGAAUGAGAUAAUGUGUGAAAACACUUUGUGAACACUAACACCGGACAGAUGCCAGGGAUCAUUAUUGCAAUUCUAAUCAAUCCUCUUUUCUCCACAUGGAUCUUGGCUGUUUAGUGCCAGCAAGCAGGCUAAAGGGGGCUGAAAGCAAGAAAGCUUAGCGGACAUGGAAAAGCUCUGUGCAGUGGGAGGGAAAAAAAAAACCCUGCAUCUCCAGAAACAUUGUGUCUCUGUGUGCCCCCUGAGGCCUAGUGGGAAGGGUUGGGGAGGAGGAGGCCUGACUUGGUAUGACCCAUUUUGGUCUACAUGGCGGCAGAGAGUGUAUUUCUUCAAAAGCAUUGUUGGUCUCCAAGUGACUGACAUGGGAACCUGAUGGGAAGGCGAUUUGCAAUUGUUUUUUUCCAGGAAGAAAGAAAGAGCAAGGUGUAGCUGAUUAGCAAGUUAAUUAUUUCAGUACCCCAAGGGUUCCAGUGUGGUGGUAAGUUGUCCAGCCCUGGUGUAAUUUCACAGUCUGUGCAUUUCCUGGUGAGCACCUGGGGUGCCCGAGUCUGUCUCUUUCUCUUUCCACCUGCCUUGUGUCUUCCUGACACACCUGGGGAGAUGAGCAGGGGCUGGGGAGGUUGAUGGUACAAGGUACACAUUCGGCUUAGGCUGCGGGUGGGGGCCACACCAAGAACAGGGUGGAGGAAGCCCAACUGAUGCCAUCUACCUCCGCUGAGUGUUUAAUUAUCUGGCCCUUUCUUCUUUAAAAAAUAAUCUUUUGUUUAAUAAAUAUUAAUGAGGCGGGUUAUCGGAAAGUGUAGUUGCCAUGAGGUUAUUUCCCCAGCCUUAGCAUGGAAAGAAACUGGGUUUGAGGAGCCUUUCGGCCCCUCACCGCCUUCUACCCCCACCAGCUCUCCCGUGCUCACGUUCCGCAGCAGCUCUUCCGGUCUCACUUCAAGAUUUGAUUUCCCCUUGGGGGAGGGUAGGGGAGGGAGGAUCAUGUGGUCAAAUGGACACUUCCCCUCGGAGAGAUAAGUUGGAGAUGUGAACAUUAGCCUCAAGAAUUAACAGCUUCUGCCGCUCUCUGCUCUCGGGGCUGAGAGGGCCAGCCCCCCCGCUGCUCCUUCCGCGAUGGAUGAAGGGAGGGCUCUACAGUUUACUUAAGAGUGGUCCCAUCUGCUCAGACUGGCCUUUCAUAAGGGGAGGGAUUUAUGCAGUGUCCUUGUGCACAGACCUGGGAUUUGGCUGAAAACCUUGGGCCUCUGAGAAUAUUACUGAACGCUAAAACGUUCAGCCAUGGAGAUGAUUCAUGAUUUUGUCUGCAUGGACAGUGUGUGUGUGUGUGUGUGUGUGUGUGCGCGCGCGCGCGCGCGUGUGUGUUUGUUGGGGUUGCACGCACAGUGAUGAUGGGUGCCACUCACCGUUCUCACUUUGAAUCCAAAUGUUAGGAAACUUUUUUUCCUUCUGUAUUCACUCAGGAGACAGGCCCUGGCACCAGGCUCUGGAGACCCCACUUCCUGACUCCAGCGGUGCGAAGAUGAUACAAUACUUUCUGGUGCUGACAUUCAGCUGUCUCCCAAACAGGUUGGCUGAUAGCCCUGCCCGUCCUUGAAGAGGGGCCGGGGGCUGUCUAAAAAGACAGUUCUGAUGACUGCUUCGUUGGUAGUGGCAGAGGAUUUGGGGCACAGGGGUGGAGUUAAGUCCAAUUGCUGUUUAAAUUGGACUUGGCCUCCUUUAUUUUACAGUCCUAAGGGGUCUCCAUAGGAGAAAAAGUAGCGAGAGAAACUUAGAACACAGGAAAGCAAGCAUAGGGAAGAGUUUCUUGUCUCAAUCUUGGUACUGCCGUGCCAAAAUGAAGCCCAGGGAUGGUUAAAAACGGAUCCUAGGGACCGGGCACCUUGGCUCAGGCCUGUAAUCCCAGCACUUUGGGAGAUCAAGAUGGGAGGAUUGCUUGAGGCUAGGAGUUCGAGGCCAGCCUGGCCAACAUAGUGAGACCUCAUCUCCAAAAAUAAAAACUUAAAAAAAAAUUUAAAAAACAAAAACAAAAAUACAGAUCCUAGGGAACAGAGUUUUGAGGUUCCCUGUGGGAUCUUGGCCUGACUCUUGGGAGAUGAAGAAGUCCUUGGCAAGUUUGAAAAGAUCUACAAGUGCCAUCUAUUCAGGGGACUAAAUGUGAUUUCUUUUCACUGCCCAGUGGCUGGUAAGGAAGGAAGCAUUUUGCAUUUUCAGCUUGUAGGAUGGUUAUUGGUGGUCCUACCAUCUUGCUCAUGUUCAAGUUUGGUCGUGUAGAUGAAGAGCCCAGCUUCCCAGCUCUUAGUUUUUCUUUUCCCUCAGGCCAUUCAUAAUUUAGCUAACAUUCUAGUCCAUUGACCAGCAUGCAUUUUGAAAGGUGAGCUGGCAAGCCUGUAACUGUGUGCAAGGUUGUUCUCAUUUAGGCUCCAGGAAGGAUAUAGUUUCCCCAUAAGAAAGAAAAGUGGGCGAGAGGCUGAGGUGGGAGGUCACUUGAGUCCAGGAGGCAAAGAUUGCAGUGAGCUGAGAACCAUGCCACUCACUGCCUUCCAGCUUGGGUGACAGAGUGAGACCCCAUCUCGAAAAAAAAAAAAAAAAAAAAAGAAAAAGAAAGAAAGAAAGAAAUAAAAGCAAGGAACUAUUUAUAUUAAUCUUUUAAUGAAGGAUUUACCAAUCUGAUAAGUACGAAGCUCCUUUUCCUCCUUCUGAAUGAGUAACUAUGUCAGUCAAUGUUGAGGGUCUGCAGAACCUAUACAAAAAUGCUUUCUUUGGUCUCUCAGUUUUAACACAUGCUGGGGCUUGGGCCUGCCUCUGACAGACUGGGGAGGAGUAGACACAUUCCAGAGACCAGGUCUUGGAGUGUUAUCUCUUCCCCCACCUCAAAUCCUCACCCUCCACUUUAUCUGUCUUUAGCACGAAUGCAGAGACCUCCUAGGGAAGUGUGAAGGGAUGGGUUUUCGUCAGGUUUAGGGAAGGAAGGGGAAUAAGAUGAGCCCCAAAGAAAGAUGGGGGUCAUUUGGAAUUUUUAGAUGACACUCUUUUGUUAUACUUUUCUUGUAUUGUGUAUUAUGUCCUACAAAUCGUGCAUUUGUUACAGUAAGCCACAGUGUGUAUGUGUGUUUGCCAAGUGCUGCUUGGCCAAA
rnacentral:lncRNA from 1 species